rnacentral:rRNA from 1 species
GUASCGGGGCAAGCGUUGUCCGGAUUUAUUGGGCGUAAAGAGCGUGUAGGCGGCUUGGUAGGUCCGCUGUGAAAACUCGAGGCUCAACCUCGAGAUGUCGGCGGAAACCACUUGGCUAGAGUCCGGAAGAGGAGAGUGGAAUUCCUGGUGUAGCGGUGAAAUGCGCAGAUAUCAGGAAGAACACCUAUGGCGAAGGCAGCUCUCUGGGACGGUACUGACGCUGAGACGCGAAAGCGUGGGGAGCGAACAGGAUUAGAUACCCUGGUAGUCCACGCCGUAGACGAUGGGUGCUAGGUGUGGGCGGUGUCGACUCCGUCCGUGCCGAAGCUAACGCAUUAAGCACCCCGCCUGGGGAGUACGGCCGCAAGGCUA